AGCAAACUCCUUAAUUGCAUAGAACUCUAAGAGUGCAAAAGAGAAACUGCUGGUGUGGUGUCUUCUGCACCCGCGGAAUCAAUCAGCAACAAGAAAAGAAUGAGAAAUACUUGUUAUGGACUGCUUACUUGCACGUUACUCGAAUUUUUGGGGCAAGUUUGACCACAUGUUCAGCUGCAAUUCAAGUAUGAAGUGACUAAGGAGCAGUGGUUUGCUUUGGUUAACUCGAGAAUAACAUUUUCUGAAAGGCACAGAACGGUGUGAAACUCCACUGCAAUUCCAUUUGUUCUGCUGUAGAAAACAAGGAAGUGGCAAAAGAAACAUAGGAAACUGAUUUACAAAGAUAAAAGUUUAAAAACCAUGUUUGUUUCUAACCGUAAUAAAAACAACUGUUUUAUUUGACUUCCCUAAGCCCCUCAUGCUCUGUCUCGAGAGCUUGCAGAGUUGUUAGUCACCUCUUUAACGAUGACACAGAAAAGCUUUUUGGCAGAGGAAAAGCUUUUUUAGUGUUCCUCAGCAGGAUGGGCUGCAGGGGUCACUAUAACAAGGCUGUUGCACGAACAUUUUUACUUCGCUGUAAAGUAGAUGCAUAUUGCUUUCUGGACAUCUGGUGCCUUAGAUUUUCCUAAUCUUUUCUCCCUUUUCUCUCAGCUUUCCUCCUCACCUUUUUUAAAGAUUUGUUUUCACUCCUUCCCAUCUCACUUUCAGCAAGAGAAUACUUGCACAGAUUCACUUGAACUGUAUGUUUAACUUACAUGCUUUACCUCCUUCAGACUCCUACACAGUUCCCUAAGCCAGCGGCAUCACAGCAGUUCACCAUCACUGUCACUGUUCCCUUUGCACUGGUAGAGCAAGCUAUUCCCUUUUUCCUUCUCUGCAGCAGCCAGCAUUCAGGCGUUGGGUGCCUGUGGAUGGGAGCUGCAGGGUGGUAGCCCAGGCUGCUGGGACCUGUCACUUCCACCAGAUCUGGACUGUGGAUCUUUGAGGCGUUUAGUGGUGUAUAUAUAAAGUGGAAGCGUUGGUUGCUGUGUUGCAGCCUGGUGUCCUUCUGAUUUUUUUUUUUAAUAUGUGGAUGGUUACUCUGCAGAGCACACAUCUGCUUAGAGUGAAUAUUUUUAUCAUUCUCUGCACUGAUUUGUAAGAAUUCAUAACAUUUGUAGACACCCUUUCAGUUACGGGCUUAUUUGAGUUUCUCUUUCAUGAUUUGAUUUUCCUAAUGCAAAUAAUUUUUGGCAAUGUGCACGGAGUUUUGCAUGGUUCCCAGCCUAAUGAUCUCAGGUACAGCUGAAGAAGAAAGAGCUGUGCCCUGGAACAUUGCCACCACUACCAAUUUUAGCUGAAUAUCCACUAUUUUUCAUUGACCCUCAGUCAAUUAAAAAAUUAAUGGGAACACAUACAUGCUGAAGGUGUGCUUCUGCAGCUGGUAUGAUACUUGUCAGUAAGGGACCAUUAAAUUGCCACAUAGCCUAGUACUUUCUGGAUGGACAGAUGAAAAGCAGCGCUGUUAGUGAUGUCCUGUUCCUGCCUCGCCCAGGAGUGAUUUGGUGAGUCACUCUGGCCAUGCCCAGUAUUUAAAAGCAAGCAAGGGAGGGACCCUGAAAUACUGAGGGUGAAGGGUGAAAGAGCCUACAGUGAUUUCACAUCAGCUUUAUCAUAAAGAGUACCAAACUUCCUUCAUUAUGCUAUUGUAUGCCAGAUCCGCCUUCAGGACAGAUGGCUGGAGAUGCAGCUCAUGAUCUCACAGCCACUGCCAACUUUCUAAUUGGGCUAAUAAUUGUUUAUUAUGCAAUUACUAGUUGAUACCUGUAAUGCAAGUUUGCAGCUGCUGCCACAAUAGAACAGUUGAAAACACAAUUACUUGUGUUUGUCCAACUGAGAGGCUUUUGACAGACUUAAGGAGCAGGGGUCAUCGCACACCUUCUUUUCCACGGAACUUGUUGCCUUUGGGACUGAUCUUGGACUCUGCUGGAAGGGAAAUGGGCAGGAGAAAGUCUGAAAGGGUGCCAUGAGGAGCUGAGGACAUAAAGGUCUGGAUGAAGAAACUCCAG